CCUCGAGCGAUGUGUUGAAGACGAGGAGGCCGCCAAGCGGCAAGCCUGGUAACGCAAGCGAAACCCAGAACCCCCCCUUCCUUCCCUCUCCUCCCCGGCGAUCGCCAACGGUUCUCCCGACCUCUCCCCGUCGCUUCCCGCCGAGCUCGGGUCCUCCCCCUCCGCUUCCGAGAUGGACAGUCGGAGGGGCCCAUGUCAGAUCCAUGGUCCUCUACCCCGCGUGCAAUCGGGACCGCCUCCUCCUGCUGGUGGAGGUGCAGGUGCGAGUGGCGCCUUCCAGGCGUUGAGGAGCUCUGCGAUGGAGGUGGGGGCAACAUCAGUGCUCGAGAAAGAGGACCAUGAGUGGCAACUCCAGAGUUCGUGUUCCACAUCACCUAAGAAGACUCACAAGAUUCGUCCAAAGAUGGUGCACCCACAGUUGCGUGUGCACUUGUCCUGCGCAUUGGCGCGGAUGUGUACCACCUUGGUUGAUAGGGGAGUGUUCGACGAGUGCCUAUCCGAGAUAGCUGAAGCAUUGCUUAAGGCAGAUUUCUGCUCAGAGAUGGUCUCGGAGCUGCAGUUAAAACUCAAGAAGGCCAUAGAUCUCACUGUGAGCGGAAGCAAUCACAACCUACAACAGGUUGUCCACAAGGAGAUAUGCAAGUUAGUUGAUCCUGGAAAGAAGCCAUCCUUUGUCCCCAAGAAGGGGAAGCCAUGUAUUGUAAUGGUGAUAGGUCUCCAAGGCUCUGGUAACACUACAAGUUGUGCCAAGUUUGGGUACCAUCACAAACAUAAGGGAUACAAACCUUCAAUGGUCUCCACGGAUACAAGAGGAAGUAGUUCACUUGAUCGGACAAAACAGAUUGCACGCGAGGCUAAGAUCCCUUUUUAUGGAAGCAAUUUGGAACCAGAUCCUGUGAGAGUUGCCGUUCAGGGCGUGGACAGAUUCAGAAAGGAGAACUCAGAUCUUAUAAUAAUUGAUACAAGUGGGAGCUCUACAUCUAAAGAUGCACUUUUUGAUAAAAUCCUUAAAAUUGAGAAGGCCACGAAGCCAGAUCUGGUAGUGCUCGUAGUUGAUGCUGGAGCUGGCAAGUCUGCAUGUGAUGUAGCUGUGUUCUGCAAGAGAUAUGGCUCUAUUGGUUCUGCUAUCGUGACCAGAAUGGACCGCCAUCCAAAUGGAGGCGGUACACUUAGCGCACUUGCAGCAGCAACAUGUCCUGUUAUAUUUUAUGGAACGGGAAAACAAAUUGAUGCAUUUGAAACCUUUGACGUGAAGGUCUUUGUGAAUAAUCUUUUAGAUUACAAGAAUAGGACUUUACAAUCAAUGUUGAAGAUAUGCAUGGUAUGCUGGGCAACCUGCAAGUAUCUGAGACUGAAAGAAGAAACGCGAUUGUAGAGAUGGAAAAGACAUGCCUGAAUGCAUAUCAUGCUGUCUUGGAGAAGCACAGGAUGCUUGCUCAGCAGAUUUCUUGUUCAGAAUCAGAAUACAAUAAAAUUUGCGACAUCCUUGGCGAGCAAGAACUCAAGAAGAGCAGAAUCAAGUCUGUCUCUUCAUUAGAAGAAAGGAAAGAGAUAAUGAUGAUCAAUCUAAGAAGCAUGAAGAACGAAAAGGAUGAAAGAACUAGUAAGCUCAAGGAUCUCAUGUCAAAAGCCUUGGAUUUGUGGAACUUCUUGGGUGUGACAUGCCCUGAACAGAGGACCUACAAGUCUAGGAUGAACAAUCUCAGUUCAUUCCUUCAACAGGCUAAUAGCCUGUCAUCCAAAUCGCUUGAGAAG